AAGUUAAUUUUAGAUGCAAGCGAUGAUUAUACAAAAUCUAGCUUAGAUAAACCAAUUAUGAAAAAAUGAGUAAGUAUCUAGGAUUAGACCCGAAGGCUAGUGAUCUUACCAUGGUCAGGGUUAUAAAAGCCCGAACGGGUUAUCGUUGUAUAGAUAUCCGAAGAACUGUGGUAAGUUAGUGAAAGACAAAACUGACUAGUAUA
rnacentral:rRNA from 1 species